rnacentral:rRNA from 1 species
CCUACGGGUGGCAGCAGUGAGGAAUAUUGGUCAAUGGGCGGGAGCCUGAACCAGCCAAGUCACGUGAGGGAAGACGGUCCUAUGGAUUGUAAACCUCUUUAGGCGGGGAGCAAUGCCGGGCACGCGUGCCCGGUGGGAGAGUACCCGCAGAAUAAGCAUCGGCUAACUCCGUGCCAGCAGCCGCGGUAAUACGGAGGAUGCGAGCGUUAUCCGGAUUUAUUGGGUUUAAGGGGUGCGUAGGCGGAUUUUUAAGUCAGCGGUAAAAGGUCCGGGCUCAACCCGGGCCGGCCGUUGAAACUGGCGAGCUUGAGUGGGCGGGAAGUAUGCGGAAUGCGUGGUGUAGCGGUGAAAUGCAUAGAUAUCACGCAGAACUCCGAUUGCGAAGGCAGCAUACCGGCGCCCGACUGACGCUGAGGCACGAAAGCGUGGGGAUCGAACAGGAUUAGAUACCCGAGUAGUC